AACGAACGCUGGCGGCAUGCCUAACACAUGCAAGUCGAACGAGACCUUCGGGUCUAGUGGCGCACGGGUGCGUAACGCGUGGGAAUCUGCCCUUCGGUUGGGAAUAACUGAGAGAAAUUUCAGCUAAUACCUUAUAAUGUCUUCGGACCAAAGAUUUAUCGCCGAGGGAUGAGCCCGCGUAGGAUUAGGUAGUUGGUGGGGUAAUGGCCUACCAAGCCGACGAUCCUUAGCUGGUCUGAGAGGAUGAGCAGCCACACUGGGACUGAGACGCGGCCGAGAAUCCUACGGGAGGCAGGAGUGGGGAAUAUUGGACAAUGGGCGAAAGCCUGAUCCAGCAAUGGCGCGUGAGUGAUGAAGGCCUUAGGGUUGUAAAGCUCUUUUACCCGGGAUGAUAAUGACAGUACCGGGAGAAUAAGCUCCGGCUAACUCCGUGCCAGCCGCCGCAGUAA
rnacentral:rRNA from 1 species